rnacentral:rRNA from 1 species
AACGGAGGUGGCUAGCGUUACUCGGAUUUACUGGGUGUAAAGGGUGCGCAGGCGGUUGUUUAAGUCAGGGGUGAAAGCCCUAUGCUCAACAUAGGGAUUGCCUUUGAUACUGAACGGCUAGAGUGAAGAUGGAGUGGGUGGAAUGUGUUGUGUAGCGGUGAAAUGCAUAGAUAUAACACAGAACACCGAUCGCGAAGGCAGCUCACUAAUUUUCAACUGACGCUCAUGCACGAAAGCGUGGGGAUCAAACAGG